UUUUUAGGUCAAGCUACAAAGGGCGCAGGGUGAAUGCCUUGGCACUAGGAGCCGAAGAAGGACGUGAUAAGCUGCGAUAAGCUUUGGGUAGACGCAAAUAGUCUGUGAUCCAAAGAUUUCCGAAUGGGGGAACCCACAUGGCUACGCCAUGUACUAUAUGCUGAAUACAUAGGUAUAUAGAGGUAAACCCGGGGAACUGAAACAUCUAAGUACCCGGAGGAAGAGAAAGAAAA
rnacentral:rRNA from 1 species